CUCGGAUAUAAUACGGGUCGUAAGAAAAUAGUCCAUCAUGGCCGACCAAGAAGGUGUUCAAACAAUCAAGAGAUAUGUUAGUCCAAAGACAGAAUGAGGAGCGAACUUUUACCACUUAUUUGUGUAGAAGAGUAUGGUACCAGGGGUGCAGCUGACUCUGAUUCCCGGCUUGUUCUAAUGAAAAAAGGCAGAUGAGGCACUGGAAUCCGAAUGUAAUCAAAAAUGCCAU